rnacentral:rRNA from 1 species
GGAAUAUUGGACAAUGGGCGAAAGCCUGAUCCAGCCAUGCCGCGUGUGUGAAGAAGGUCUUCGGAUUGUAAAGCACUUUAAGUUGGGAGGAAGGGCAUUAACCUAAUACGUUAGUGUUUUGACGUUACCGACAGAAUAAGCACCGGCUAACUCUGUGCCAGCAGCCGCGGUAAUACAGAGGGUGCAAGCGUUAAUCGGAAUUACUGGGCGUAAAGCGCGCGUAGGUGGUUUGUUAAGUUGAAUGUGAAAUCCCCGGGCUCAACCUGGGAACUGCAUCCAAAACUGGCAAGCUAGAGUAUGGUAGAGGGUAGUGGAAUUUCCUGUGUAGCGGUGAAAUGCGUAGAUAUAGGAAGGAACACCAGUGGCGAAGGCGACUACCUGGACUGAUACUGACACUGAGGUGCGAAAGCGUGGGGAGCAAACAGGAUUAGAUACCCCUG